CUUUCCUACGGGGCGCAGCAGUGAGGAAUAUUGGUCAAUGGGCGGGAGCCUGAACCAGCCAAGCCGCGUGAAGGAAGAAGGCGCCAGGCGUCGUAAACUUCUUUUGUCGGGGAACAAAGGGCGCCACGCGUGGCGUUGUGAGUGUACCCGAAGAAAAAGCAUCGGCUAACUCCGUGCCAGCAGCCGCGGUAAUACGGAGGAUGCGAGCGUUAUCCGGAUUUAUUGGGUUUAAAGGGUGCGUAGGCGGUCCGGAAAGUCAGCGGUCAAAUCGCGGGGCUCAACCCCGCCCAGCCGUCGGAACUGCC
rnacentral:rRNA from 1 species